rnacentral:rRNA from 1 species
UGAUUUAUACUAUGAUAUAUAGUAUAUAAAUUAAGAAGGUUAUUGAAGAGCACUUUAUGGAUGCCUUGAUAUUAAGUAUUGGACGUAAAAAUGACGAAAUGAUGUGUUGAUGAACUUUUCAAAUGAUGCACAUCCUUCCAUAAGAGGGGAACCUCUAAAGUAAAAACCUAGAGAACUGAAACAUCUUAGUACCUAGUGGAAAAUAAAUCAACCGAGAUUGCGUAAGUAGCAGCGAGUGAAAGCGUAAUAGGCUUAAUAAUCACUAUUUGAAGUAUAAUACUGUUGGAAUACAGAGCAAGACAGAGUGAAAGCCUCGUUUACGAGAAGAAUAGUGUAUACAUGUAGUAAAUCUGGACACAUAUAAUCUAGAUUGAAGAUAGGUGGACUCCCAUCUAAGCCUAAAUAUUACUUAAUAAUCUAUAGUGAAUAAGUACUGUGAAGGAAACGGUGAAAAGACUCAAAUCGAAUUGAAAAGAUUCUGAAGUAGGGUGCUUACAAGCAGUCAGAGUUAUACAUAUAAUGUAUGAUUAUGAUGUACCUUUUGCAUAAUGGAUUAGCGAGUUUAUUUAUAUUGCAAGCUUAAUUUAACAUAAGUAGGCAUAGAGAAAUCGAAUUUUAAAAGAUUAAAGUAAUAUGAAUAAUGACCCGAAAUCGAGUGAUCUAACCAUGAGCAGGUUGAAGAUGUGAUAAAACACCUUGGAGGACCGAACUCUUGUAUGUUGCAAUAUACUGGGAUGACUUGUGGUUAGGAGUGAAAGGCUAAUCAAACUCGAAGAUAGCUGGUUUUCUGUGAAAUCUAUUUAAGUAGAGCGUUAUUUAUUAAUAUGUCAAGGUAGAGCACUUAAUGAGAUAGGGGGACAUGAAAAUCUUACCAACCUCAAAAAAACUCCGAAUUGGAUAACAUUAUGAAUAACAGUCAGACAAUGGGUGCUAAGAUCCAUAGUCGAGAGGGAAACAGCCCUGACUAUUAGCUAAGGUCCCUAAAUAAUAACUAAGUGUAAAGGAUAUGAGAUAGUUAAUACAACCAAGAAGUUAGCUUGGAAGCAGCUACCUUUUAAAGAAAGCGUAACAGCUCAUUGGUCUAGGCUACCUUGUACCAAAAAUGUAUAGGGUCUAAAGUUAUUUACCGAUGCUAUAGAAGUAAAAUUACUACUUGGUAACAGAACGUUCUGUAUAUUUGAGAAGAUUAAUUGUUAGAUUAAUUGGAGAUAUCAGAAGUGAAUAUGCUAAUAUGAGUAGCGUAAAACAAUAAAUCAUUGUCGCCGUAAAUUCAAGGUUUUCUUCCGUAAAGACUAACUACGAAGAAGUUAGCCGGCCCCUAAGAUAUAAGCGAUAGCUAAAAAUUGAUGGGAAUAUAGUUUAAUAUUCUAUAGCCAGCUUUUUAAUGACGGAUUGUUAAGUAUAAUCUAAAAUAAUUGGAUUCAUUUAGUUAUAUGAAACAGUCACGGGAAAUAGUUAAGUAUUAGACCGUACCGAAAACCGACUCAGGUGAAUUGGUAGAGAAUACUAAGGCGAUUGAGAGAAUAAUGUUGAAGGAACUCGGCAAAAUAAUUCCGUAACUUAGGGAGAAGGAAUGCCUUCGGGUGUAAUAUAAUAGAGGGAAGCGACUGUUUAACAAAAACACAAGACUCUGCAAAGUCGAAAGACGAAGUAUAGGGUCUGACGUCUGCCCAGUGUUAAUCUAUAAUGUGAGAUGCAACUGCAUCAAGCGGAAAUAUUAAUAAACGGCGGCUGUAACCAUAACGGUCCAAAGGUAGCAAAAUUCCUUGUCAGGUAAGUUCUGACCCGCAUGAAUGACGUAACGACUUCCUUGCUGUCUCCAACAUUAUCUCAGCGAAAUUGAAUUCUCCGUGAAGAUGCGGAGUUCCAGCGGCUAGACGGAAAGACCCCGUGCACCUUUACUAUAGUUAUAUAUUGUUACUAGGUUUUAGAUGUGUAGGAUAAGUGGUAGCUUAUGAAUCCUCAACGUUAGUUGAUAGAGAAGCACUCUUGAAAUACCACUCUUCUAAUUACCUGUAACUAAUUGAAGAUAUUAUUUAUAUUUUUAUGACCAUGUAUAAGCGGUAGUUUGACUGGGGCGGUCGCCUCCUAAAUAGUAACGGAGGCGUACAAAGGUAGACUUUAAUUGUUCAGAAAUCAAUUAAUAAGUGUAAUGGCAAAAGUUUGCUUGACUGCAAUACUGACAAGUAGAGCAGAGACGAAAGUCGGUCAUAGUGAUCCGGUGGUUCUAAGUGGAAAGGCCAUCGCUCAACGGAUUAAAGGUACGCCGGGGAUAACAGGCUAAUGAUCUCUGAGAGUCCUUAUCGACGGGAUUGUUUGGCACCUCGAUGUCGACUCAUCAUAUCCUGAAGCUGAAGCAGGUUUCAAGGGUUCGGCUGUUCGCCGAUUAAAAUGGUACGUGAGUUGGGUUCAGAACGUCGUGAGACAGUUCGGUCCCUAUCUACCGCUGGUGUAGGAGAAUUGAUAUACGUUAACCUUAGUACGAGAGGACCAGGUUGAACAUAGCAAUAGUGUUUGAGUCAUUCUUCCAAGAGUGAUGCUCAGUAGCCAACUAUGGAUAAGAUAACUGCUGAAUGCAUAUUAAGUAGGAAUCUUGUAUAGAAACAAUUUCUCCAAAACAACUGUAGUAGACUAUUACUUAGAUAGGUUGGAUGUGUAAGGAUAGUAAUAUCUGAAGCUUACCAAUACUAAUUUGUUGUAGUAAACCUUCUUAU